rnacentral:tRNA from 2 species
GCCUCUUUAGCUUAGUGGCAAAGCAAUGGUUUUGUAAACCAUAGACGUCAGUCCGAUUCUGACAGGAGGCU